rnacentral:rRNA from 1 species
GACGAACGCUGGCGGCGUGCUUAACACAUGCAAGUCGAACGGAAAGGCCCUGCUUUUGUGGGGUGCUCGAGUGGCGAACGGGUGAGUAACACGUGAGUAACCUGCCCUUGACUUUGGGAUAACUUCAGGAAACUGGGGCUAAUACCGGAUAGGAGCUCCUGCUGCAUGGUGGGGGUUGGAAAGUUUCGGCGGUUGGGGAUGGACUCGCGGCUUAUCAGCUUGUUGGUGGGGUAGUGGCUUACCAAGGCUUUGACGGGUAGCCGGCCUGAGAGGGUGACCGGCCACAUGGGGACUGAGAUACGGCCCAGAGUCCUAGGGGAGGCAGCAGCGGGGAAUAUUGCACAAUGGGCGGAAGCCUGAUGAAGCAACGCCGCGUGCGGGAUGACGGCCUUCGGGUUGUAAACCGCUUGCGCCUGUGACGAAGCGUGAGUGACGGUAAUGGGUAAAGAAGCAACGGCUAACUACGUG